rnacentral:tRNA from 1 species
GUGGUCUAGAGGUUAGAACGCUGGCCUUGUAAUCCUGGGGUCUCGGGUUCGAUUCCCGUC